GAUCAUGGCUCAGAACGAACGCUGGCGGCAGGCCUAAUACAUGCAAGUCGAACGCCCUAGUAAUAGGGAGUGGCAGACGGGUGAGUAACACGUGGGAACCUUCCCUAUAGUACGGAAUAGCCCAGGGAAACUUGGAGUAAUACCGUAUAAGCCCGAGAGGGGAAAGAUUUAUCGCUAUAGGAUGGGCCCGCGUAGGAUUAGCUAGUUGGUGAGGUAACGGCUCACCAAGGCAACGAUCCUUAGCUGGUUUGAGAGAAUGACCAGCCACACUGGGACUGAGACACGGCCCAGACUCCUACGGGAGGCAGCAGUGGGGAAUCUUGGACAAUGGGCGCAAGCCUGAUCCAGCCAUGCCGCGUGAGUGAUGAAGGCCUUAGGGUUGUAAAGCUCUUUUGCCGGGGACGAUAAUGACGGUACCCGGAGAAUAAGUCCCGGCUAACUUCGUG
rnacentral:rRNA from 1 species